UGCAUAGUUGAGGAAAGUCCACAA
rnacentral:piRNA from 1 species